rnacentral:rRNA from 1 species
UGCGUAGGCGGACUAAUAAGUCAGUGGUGAAAUCUCUCGGCUCAACCGGGAAACUGCCAUUGAUACUGUUAGUCUUGAGUUCGGUUGAGGUAGGCGGAAUGUGUAAUGUAGCGGUGAAAUGCUUAGAUAUUACACAGAACACCAAUUGCGUAGGCAGCUUACUAGACCGACACUGACGCUGAGGCACGAAAGCGAGGGUAGCGAACAGGAUUAGAUACCCUGGUAGUCC